rnacentral:rRNA from 1 species
UACGUAGGGACCAAGCGUUGUUCGGAUUUACUGGGCGUAAAGGGCGCGUAGGCGGCUUAACAAGUCACUUGUGAAAUCUCCGGGCUUAACUCGGAACGGCCAAGUGAAACUGUCAAGCUAGAGUGCAGAAGGGGCAAUCGGAAUUCUUGGUGUAGCGGUGAAAUGCGUAGAUAUCGGAAGGAACACCUGUGGCGAAAGCGGCUCACUGGACCAUAACUGACGCUGAGGCACGAAAGCUAGGGGAGCAAACAGG